UGUAACACCUGUCUAAUUUUAGAUGCUGAGUAGGAUUGAGCUUGUUUAGUCCUCAGAUGGGAAACCACUAAGGACUACUAGCUGCUGUUAUUU
rnacentral:rRNA from 1 species